rnacentral:rRNA from 1 species
UGAGGGAUAUUGCACAAUGGGCGCAAGCCUGAUGCAGCGACGCCGCGUGGGUGAAGAAGGUUUUCGGAUCGUAAAACCCUUUCUGUGUGACGAGCAAGGACGGUAGCACAGGAAUAAGUCUCGGCUAACUACGUGCCAGCAGCCGCGGUAAAACGUAGGAGACAAACGUUAUCCGGAGUUACUGGGCGUAAAGGGCGUGCAGGCGGCAGUCUAAGUCUGGCGUGAAAUUUCCCGGCUUAACCGGGGGAGGUCGUCGGAUACUGGGCAGCUCGAGGGCGGUAGAGGCGUGUGGAAUUCCGGGUGUAGUGGUGAAAUGCGUAGAGAUCCGGAGGAACACCAGUGGCGAAGGCGACACGCUGGGCCGCACCUGACGCUAAGACGCGACAGCAUGGGGAGCGAACAGGAUUAGAUACCCCAGUAGUCCCUGAGCGGGCUGGCAAGGCGCAU